rnacentral:lncRNA from 1 species
GUGGCUAGAUGAUGGGUAAGCCGUGAGCCCACCUGUCUUUGCCUUGCUUUGCUGCUUAACAGCAACUUGGGACCCCAGAAUAAAGACUGCUACAGCACUUAAGGGAGGAUCUGCAUUUGCCCAGGUUAGGGAAUCAUCAUUAAAGCUUUGCGGGGAGGGGAGGCGCUCUAAAAUGAGAAUCUCCCCGUGACCUUGGUGGUUUGAUUCAUUUGCAGGUUACUGUUCUGAGGGCCGGCAACUCGAAGAGGAGCAGCUCAGCCUGUUUUGUUGAUUUUGGUGAUACUGUUUUGAGGAAGCAGGGGGCCCGUCAGUCAGCUAACAAAGAAGAUGGAACAGCCUAUCCACAUAGGAGAGAGCUGACGUAGGAGAACUGAUAUACGGCAGUGAUAUAUUCAAUGAGAACAUGAGAACUCCUGCUCUGCAGCGGGCUCCGUAAUCGAUGACCAUGGGAUCCAUGCUCUGG